AAACCCCCCAGAAUAUUUAAGUUGAAUAUUGAUAUGAACCUGCAUGUAUUUAUAAACCAAUAGUUGCAUCUCAACAUGUUUCAGUGUUUUUUCCAGGUAGCAUCAAUAUUCAGUCAAAUGAGAACUUAAUGGUUAGCCUCUUUGAAUCUCACCAUUUCCAUGAGCCAGACUACCUAUUUGCUUAUAUGGAUCACCAUCCUCUAUUCCACUUAUGAUGAUAUGAAAUGUGACAAUUACUGGGUGCUGAUGUAAUGUCACGGACACUGAGAAAGAAACACCAAAUUUUAAUAUUGUGAAAGAAACACCCAAACAGUAAGAGAAUACUCAGAAAAAGCUUUGCACCUGAGAAGUGACUUCUAGUUUAAAGGAAAAUGAGUCAUCUCCAUCUGACACCGGAUACAGCCUGCACAUAUGAGUCUCUCUCAUUGCUUUCUGCCGAGAAAGGAUGUCAUAGAUGCUGAUAUGAAUGCAACAUCUAUUGUCCUACAGUGGAGUAGAAACCAGGAA